UACGUAGGGUGCAAGCGUUAAUCGGAAUUACUGGGCGUGAAGCGUGCGCAGGCGGUUUUGUAAGUCUGAUGUGAAAUCCCCGGGCUCAACCUGGGAAUUGCAUUGGAGACUGCAAGGCUAGAAUCUGGCAGAGGGGGGUAGAAUUCCACGUGUAGCAGUGAAAUGCGUAGAGAUGUGGAGGAACACCGAUGGCGAAGGCAGCCCCCUGGGUCAAGAUUGACGCUCAUGCACGAAAGCGUGGGGAGCAAACAGG
rnacentral:rRNA from 1 species